CUUGGUGCUUGCACCGAGCGGAAGAGUUGCGAACGGGUGAGUAACGCGUAGGUAACCUGCCUCUUAGCGGGGGAUAACUAUUGGAAACGAUAGCUAAUACCGCAUAAAAGUCGGCAUUGCAUGAUGUUGACUUGAAAGGUGCAACUGCAUCACUAAGAGAUGGACCUGCGUUGUAUUAGCUAGUUGGUGAGGUAACGGCUCACCAAGGCGACGAUACAUAGCCGACCUGAGAGGGUGAUCGGCCACACUGGGACUGAGACACGGCCCAGACUCCUACGGGAGGCAGCAGUAGGGAAUCUUCGGCAAUGGACGGAAGUCUGACCGAGCAACGCCGCGUGAGUGAAGAAGGUUUUCGGAUCGUAAAGCUCUGUUGUAAGAGAAGAACGAGUGUGAGAGUGGAAAGUUCACACUGUGACGGUAACUUACCAGAAAGGGACGGCUAACUACGUGCCAGCAGCCGCGGUAAUACGUAGGUCCCGAGCGUUAUCCGGAUUUAUUGGGCGUAAAGCGAGCGCAGGCGGUUAGAUAAGUCUGAAGUUAAAGGCUGUGGCUUAACCAUAGUACGCUUUGGAAACUGUUUAACUUGAGUGCAGAAGGGGAGAGUGGAAUUCCAUGUGUAGCGGUGAAAUGCGUAGAUAUAUGGAGGAACACCGGUGGCGAAAGCGGCUCUCUGGUCUGUAACUGACGCUGAGGCUCG
rnacentral:rRNA from 1 species